rnacentral:rRNA from 1 species
AUUGAACGCUGGCGGCAUGCUUUACACAUGCAAGUCGAACGGCAGCACGGGCUUCGGCCUGGUGGCGAGUGGCGAACGGGUGAGUAAUAUAUCGGAACGUACCCAGAAGUGGGGGAUAACGUAGCGAAAGUUACGCUAAUACCGCAUACGAUCUAUGGAUGAAAGCAGGGGACCGCAAGGCCUUGUGCUCCUGGAGCGGCCGAUAUCUGAUUAGCUAGUUGGUGAGGUAAAGGCUCACCAAGGCGACGAUCAGUAGCUGGUCUGAGAGGACGACCAGCCACACUGGAACUGAGACACGGUCCAGACUCCUACGGGAGGCAGCAGUGGGGAAUUUUGGACAAUGGGCGCAAGCCUGAUCCAGCAAUGCCGCGUGAGUGAAGAAGGCCUUCGGGUUGUAAAGCUCUUUUGUCAGGGAAGAAACGGUAGAGGCUAAUAUCCUUUGCUAAUGACGGUACCUGAAGAAUAAGCACCGGCUAACUAUG